CGUAAACUGAACUUGCUAUUGUUUCUCAAAUAAGCGAUGGUCUCAGGCGCUUCCAUGCUCUUUAUACAGUCUAGAACAACCUUCUCCCUACCUUCCUAUACCGGACCUACAACACACCGAUGUAUCUUACUCAUUCAUUGGACAAAUGCCAUGCACAUCUACUAUGUGUCAAGUGCUGGAGACACAAAACAGUGCUCAAUGGGUCCUGAAAACCUUCUUUUUACAAACUCAAAUCUCACAUGGAAGAAUCACCUGUCAACAUUUCCUAGUUAUUAACAUCUAACAUAAGGAAAGCAGAUGGCUUCACGGGAAAAAAAGAAAAUGUAAAGGUACUUGUAUCAAAUUGUAGUUUUCAAAACAUUUUUACUUAUUUCUUCAUACUUGAUCCUCAUAAUAACCUGAGUAAAUAUCUUGAUUUCUAUUUCAUAAUGGAGGGAGAAAAAACUCAUAUAGGUUAAACCAUUCC
rnacentral:lncRNA from 1 species